rnacentral:tRNA from 1 species
UGGGGCGUCGCCAAGCGGUAAGGCACCGGUCUCUGGAUCCGGCAUUCGGGGGUUCAAAUCCUCCCGCCCCAG